AAAGACUCCGUAUCCCAUUCUUGGGAUUUCUACUUUACCAGCCACAAGAAGUCAGUUUUCCAAUGCUAAUGAAAUAUACUCCCAAAUACCUAUAUGAAAUGAAGACCUCUGGACAUAGCGAAGCUCAAACAUAGAAAAUGUCAGACCUGGAUUCAGACCUGACAUUCAAUACCUUGUCAAGGGACAGAUCCAAAGCGUAUCCUCUUUAGUCCUGGAGAGAAAGCCUCAUGGGCUUUGGGAAGAAGGUUUGUAAGGGGAAAUCUGAUUGUUUAUAGACUGAGGAACAGGAAUGUUAGAGGUUAAACACGAACUAUCCUUAGUUGAGGCUAAAAAAAAAAAACACACUGCCUAUGUUUUUCUUCGGCAUGCUAAAGAGCACUGGAUUUCAACUUCACGCGUUUGCUCAGAACUCUUCUGCCAAGGAAUUUUGCGAAUGAAUUUUGCAACUGGGAAAAAAGAAGAAAUUGCAGACCAUUGGAGCAGUUACCACCUGAGAUCUUUAAAAGAAAAAAAAAAGGAAUAAAACAACAUGAAUUGAGAAAUAGAAGAGAACUUCUAGAAUCACAGCACUGAAAACUGGCAGGACCCGUAGAAAGAAUAUGUUCUAAUGGCUUCAUUUUGCAUAUGGGGAAACUGUGCUUCCAGUAAACUAAAUGGCUGUAAAUAAAGUUCUCUUUGCAUUAUGCAAUCACCCUUGCCCAGGUCAUACUCACUGUGCCCAGAAAUCCUAUCCAAGUAAAAUGACAUCUUGUGUAGUAGGCAGAACAGGUGAAGUUCUGCAACUGCAAGGGACUGUGGAUGUCAUGUAAAUCAAACCUUUCAAUUUAAAAUUGUAGAAAACAAGGUCCUAAGGCAUUAAAUGAUUUGCCCAAUGUCCUGCAGAUAGUAAGAAACAAAACCAGGAUCUGAAAUCAGCUUUUAUGACUCCAGUUUUAGCAUUAU